rnacentral:lncRNA from 15 species
UUCUAUUUAACAAUGUAUGACAAUGAAUCCAAUCAUUGUGUCUUCCUGUGAAACUAAAUGUGACGCAAGCUUACGUCAGCAUGAACUAACUGAUUUCAACCAAUAAUAUCCUGAUACUCACCCGUCAAUCAGUCUUCAACUGUUAGUGACACAGAGCUCACUGAUUACUGUACAAACACAACUUUAUUAUCACUGUACAAACACACAACUUUAUUAACACUGUACAGACGCACAACUUUAUUAUCACUGUACAAACACACAACUUUACUGUACAAACACACAACUGUAUUUGUGAUUUGGCUGAAACUGGAUCGACUGGUUUUGCCUGGCUGCUAACUGCUAAUGUAGCUGCCGUUAGUGUGCAACUGAACGGGGCUCAGCAGCCUCCCAGUGAACACAACCUCCGAGACAGACAGAGGACAGUUUGACGACAGCGGUACCGAGGUGAUUCACAGUUUCCAGAUGGACUUGUUGCUAAAAGAAGCUAACUGCAGCUAACACUAAUGUUAGCUACCACUGACUCAGCCUGGAAUGGCAAACUGAGACAAAUGUGGUGAAAAGCCACCACUGUUCUGUAUUUCCUGUGAUCGAUCUGUCCUGUAUGACCACAGCUGGCUUUCAAAUAAAUCAUUAAGUGAGGCCUUGAGACGAAGAACCAUAUAAGUCCAUAUUUUCAAUUUUUGAAUAAUAAUUUUUUUUUAUUUGGACUGUGAACAUUAUAUUAUAUAUUUUUAAUUUUACUUGAAGAUAGACAACAAAAGCUUCCCAAUUCUAAUGAGAUAAGAUUUUUCAGUGUCAAUCUUAAAAAUAAACAGUUAGAGUAAUUUAAAUUUCUGGAAUGUGGAAGAACGGUAUAUGUCCAGUUAAUGUGGAAUAACAGUAUAAGUCCAAUUCAUCAUAUCACUUUAAACCACCGGAGAUCUGAUUCCUUUAUCUUAGUUUUAAUAUAGUAACAGAACCUCAAAGAAAAUAUUAAGCAUUUCUUUCUUUCCAUUUAUUUUGGGAUUUUUUGCUAAUGUAAAUCACAGAACAAAUACAGACAAUACAGUACGAACAAUAAACAUAUAUAUUACGAUUAAUUUUACACAAUAAACACAAUAUACCCCACCUUACCCUGAACAUGGCCUACACAUACCAUGCGACUCUUCACAUUCUAAUGUGUCAUAAAAUGCGUGGGCCUUCGCUGGCUUGUAGGCUAGCAUUGUCAUAAGGUCACGGUGCUUCUCCUUCUUGACGGGCAGAGGGUCCUCGUAAGCUCGAGCGUACGUGGUGGAGAACAAGGGAGCUGGAGGUGGUUGAUUCUUCCUCUGUUUGGUGAUGAGCCAGGUCUUCCAUCCCUCGUAGAGGCUGUGGCUCCCUU